GGCAAGAUGGCCGAGUUGGUUAUGGCGUGAGGUUCAGGUCACCUUAGAAGAGAUUCCUCAUGGAGCAAUCCGCGUGGGUUCAAAUCCCACUCUUGUCA